rnacentral:miRNA from 1 species
UUCCCCAACCUUGGGCCUCCAGCUGUUUUUGGACUACAACUCCCAUCAUCCCUCGCUAGCAAGACCAGUGGUCAAGGAUGAUGGGAAUUGUAGUCCAAAAACAGCUGGAGGCCCAAGGUUGGGGAA